rnacentral:lncRNA from 1 species
GUUUUGAUUGGUAUUGAUCGAUUUUGACAGGUAAUUUUUAGAUAAUAAUUUACUAACGAGCCUUCAAAAAGCGUUCGGAAUUCGGUGUUGACAGGGUUCAGUUUUUUCAGGUUUGAUUAACGUUAAUUGAUAGGGAAAUUUUGUGGGACUUUGAAAAUUGUUCGGUUUAAACUAAAAUUCGGUUUUAUCAGGGUUCGGUUUACCCAGGUUUCACUGUAUA